CAUUAUUGCACAUCUUAUUUCCUGCAGAGCGUUUAGCCCUCAUUCGGCAACAAAGAGCAGAAGCUGCCAAGAAGCGAGAAGAAGAGAAAGCUGCCAAAGAACUGAAGAGGGCAGAUGCUCGCAAAUGAACCUUAGAGAGAGUGCACAGUGGAGUGUUCUCUUGCAAAACAACAAAAAGAAUAAGUGAAGAUUAAAGACAUCACUUUUCUAUUUUAGCAAUUGAUGUAAACAGUAUAUUUUCUCUUCCCAGUAUUACUACUGAAAGCAUGUGGUACUGUCCUCGAUUGGCCUUCCUAUGAGUAAAGGCGUUUUUGGUGACUAUCUAGAAAAUCUACGAUGUUCGACUUGUUCGCA